rnacentral:rRNA from 1 species
AGUGAACGCUGGCGGUAGGCCUAACACAUGCAAGUCGAACGGCAGCACAGUAAGAGCUUGCUCUUACGGGUGGCGAGUGGCGGACGGGUGAGGAAUACAUCGGAAUCUACUUUUUCGUGGGGGAUAACGUAGGGAAACUUACGCUAAUACCGCAUACGACCUACGGGUGAAAGCAGGGGAUCUUCGGCCCUUGCGCGAUUGAAUGAGCCGAUGUCGGAUUAGCUAGUUGGCGGGGUAACGGCCCACCAAGGCGACGAUCCGUAGCUGGUCUGAGAGGAUGAUCAGCCACACUGGAACUGAGACACGGUCCAGACUCCUACGGGAGGCAGCAGUGGGGAAUAUUGGACAAAGGGCGCAAGCCUGAUCCAGCCAUACCGCGUGGGUGAAGAAGGCCUUCGGGUUGUAAAGCCCUUUUGUUGGGAAAGAAAAGCAGCAGGUUAAUACCCCGCUGUUCUGACGGUACCCAAAGAAUAAGCACCGGCUAACUUCGUG